CGCGUUAAGUCGACCGCCUGGGGAGUACGGCCGCAAGGUUAAAACUCAAAUGAAUUGACGGGGGCCCGCACAAGCGGUGGAGCAUGUGGUUUAAUUCGAUGCAACGCGAAGAACCUUACCUGGUCUUGACAUCCACGGAAGUUUUCAGAGAUGAGAAUGUGCCUUCGGGAACCGUGAGACAGGUGCUGCAUGGCUGUCGUCAGCUCGUGUUGUGAAAUGUUGGGUUAAGUCCCGCAACGAGCGCAACCCUUAUCCUUUGUUGCCAGCGGUCCGGCCGGGAACUCAAAGGAGACUGCCAGUGAUAAACUGGAGGAAGGUGGGGAUGACGUCAAGUCAUCAUGGCCCUUACGACCAGGGCUACACACGUGCUACAAUGGCGCAUACAAAGAGAAGCGACCUCGCGAGAGCAAGCGGACCUCAUAAAGUGCGU
rnacentral:rRNA from 1 species